CAAGUCUCACCCUGGGAAAAAUCAAAUUUUUCAUGGCUUUCUAAAGAUAUUUGUCUAUGUUUAAUUUCUCUGAGUAAUUUAUAUACUUCAGGCUAAAGAGUAACGAGAUCGUCACCAUCACUUUGCCUUUUGUAGAGUUUCUUUUAUUUUUUAAAGAAGGCAGCAAAGACCUCAUAUUACUUCUGCAUUUCCUAAAAAAGCAAAAAGCAUUUAAAGUGUUGGGUAAAAUAUCUGUCCCUAAAUUAUAAAAAAAAAUGAAAUACAACAAAAUAAUGAAGCAAUUUUAGGGGUUGGCUUCCUUUUUCUAGGCACUGUGAAAUUCACUAAAGGUGAAUUUUUUUAAUGUCACCGUUUUUCACCCUCCAGAGAGGAUAUUUGCUCCAUUGUGUCCAGGAUCAGCCAGACCAGGGACUUGAAAUGUGAACCUGUUUUCUGAACGUACCUGAAGGGGAAAAUCUGCCUUGGAGAAAUCAAGCUGAUAUUCAGGGGUGUCACUUCAUUUUAGUUAUUUGACAGCCUGAAGAAGUGUUUAAUUUUCUAAAUAACGUUACAAACCAAACUAAAGGGAAAACAUGUGGUAUAAAGCUUUUCAACAUUGUCCGUCUUCUGACGGGUGAAGUCUUCUUGAGAAAGUACCUUUGCCCAAUAAUACUGCUCCUCGGCCAAGAGUUGUAAUGUCCAUGGACAUUAUAAGGAACUAUAAAUGUUAGAAGGCUAGAGGAAUACAUUUGGCAAGAUAAAGGAAAAUAUCUCAGGAUGUUGGCAGAAGGCGCAAGAAUGACACUUCCCUCAGAUGGGACAGGCAGGCUCUGUGGCCGCGUAAACACGCUGUAACCGAGUUCUUUGCUGAUUUUUACAGAGUUUCAUUAGCUCCCAAGAAGAACUGAGGGUGCUCAAUUGUCUAGUGCUGGCCUGCCCCACAAGAGCCUGGGGGCUCCUUUCCCCUAACCCAGAACUGGCAGCG